AUUCCGUAGGUGAACCUGCGGAAGGAUCAUUAAUGUGUUUGGGCCUCACGGCUCUUCAUUCCGACGCUGUGCGCCUUCGGGCUGCACGCUGAGGGAGCAUAUAUCCACCCCUGUGCACACACACGGUGGCGAGCUGGGUAACGGCUCGCCGCUGAUCUUUACACACGUCUAAAAGUCAUUGUAUGUUUAUUUGAGAUAAAAACACAACUUUCAGCAACGGAUCUCUUGGCUCUC
rnacentral:misc_RNA from 1 species